rnacentral:lncRNA from 1 species
AGCAUCGUCAACAAUUACACAAUUCCAAUCCAAUAUAGUCAACUAAAAUUUCCUAUAGGUGGCCUAUUCCAAAAUCAACAAAAUAAUUAUCUUAUAUAACCAAAAACAUGUGUGGUAUACCAAAACUAAAAUCUAUCCCCUUUACAUCUAUUGCAUGUACAUAAGCAUAAUAGCUAUGAACGAAACAUUUACAAAAAAAAAAAAAAAAAAAGUUAUGGGCAUUCCCAUAUAUUAGUCAUUCACAAAAUUAAUAAGAUCACAUCUAAGAGAUGUCUAUCAUAUGUACAAAGCUAAAAAUUCAGCCCACUCCGCUCAAUCUUCAUCCAAUUCAAGCUGUGAGUAGAAACUUCUUGUAUCAGUCUAAUAAAACAUAAAAAAUCAAGUAGACAUUUUGUUAAAAAUAAAAAUUAAUCAGAUAAGUAACUUAUUUCCAUCAUAAAAGAAUAAUCGCCUUGUAAAAAAAUUCUACAUUGUAAGGGAGGAUAUUGUAAACCUAAACAUGAAUAUUUAAACCUAUAUGAAACUAAGUACAAACAUAGAUUAGAAAACCUACACUAAAUAAAUAUUGUUAAUGCUCAAAAACAGUUAAAAAUUAACUUAAAAGAAUACCGUAUAACUUAAGCAAGUUUUCCCAAAUCAUAAAUACAUAAGAGUACCUAUUCAACUGAGUUAAGUGCUUCAACACCUCCCCUGGCAUCUGCAAAGAAAAACAUUACAAGACUAAAGGGAGAGACAAAAAACGAACUUCCUUUGAUCUUCUUACAACAUUCACAUUUAUCAAGCUCCACUAAAUCACUAAUAAACGAAGAGAACACUAUUGCUUACCUAUUUAUUGCAGAGAAUCUGGGUUCAAGACAAAAAGAACAAAAUAAUUAUACACCAAAUAUUUUGAAGAUUAUUGAAUAGAAAUGUGUAUAUUGUUCACCUGGAAAUUCCACCUACCAUUCUGCAAAUCAAAACAAAUUCUUUGAAUGAAACCAAAUCAUCGAUGAACUCUCACCACCCUGAAUAAAAAACCAACGAAAUCAAUCAAAGAAAACAGAUACAUUGAACUCAAAAAACAAAAAAGAAAAACUCUCAUCCUCUAACAUUCAGUAGUGAACGAAAAAAGGAAGAAAAUCAGAGGGGGGCGGCUUUUCGGUGAGAAGAAAAUCAGAAGGGGCGUGUCCAGAGAGAAGAAGGGAGAUCGAGAAGAACUCCGGUGGUGAAGAAAUUCGGUGGGGGCCAUUCCACGUGAAGAAAAUCAAAUGGGAAGGGGGCUUUUCGGUGAGAAGAAAAUCGGAAGGGAAGGGGGACACGUUCGGUGAGAAGAGGGGGGCGAGAAAAGAAAUUUGGUGGAGGGUCGUCUGACGUGAAGAAAAUAAGAGGGGGCUUUUUAGUGUGAAAAAAAUCGGAAGGUUGCGUGUGAUAAGGGAAGAGAGGCAACAUGUGAGAGAAAAUAGGAAAAAGGAGGGAAAAUGAAAAGAGG